rnacentral:misc_RNA from 1 species
UUUCCGUAGGUGAACCUGCGGAAGGAUCAUUACACAUAUAAAGUAUGCCUGGGAAAAUUCGAAAGAAAAGUACCCAGGCGUAUUCUUAUACCCAUGUCUUUUGCGUACUACUUGUUUCCUUGGUGGGCUUGCCUGCCAUUAGGACACCCCUACAAACCUUUUGUAAUUGCAGUCAGCGUCAGAAAAUAACGUAAUCGUUACAACUUUCAACAACGGAUCUCUUGGUUCUGGCAUCGAUGAAGAACGCAGC